rnacentral:rRNA from 1 species
GAUGAACGCUGGCGGCGUGCCUAAUACAUGCAAGUCGAGCGAACAGGCGAGGAGCUUGCUCCUCGGACGUUAGCGGCGCACGGGAGAGUAACACGUGUAUAACCUACCUGUAAGACUGGUAUCACUUCGGGAAACCGGAGCUAAUACCGUAUAACCUGCUGAACCGCGUGGUUGAAUAGUGAAAGACGGUGUUGCUGUAACUGAUAGAGGGAUCCGCGCCUCAUUAGCGGUUUGGUAAGUUAACAGCUUACCAAGGAAACGAUGCGUGGCCGAGCUGGUAGGGGGACCGGCCACAAUGGAACUGAGACACGGUCCAGACUCCGACGGAAGGGAGCGGUGGGUAGUAUUGCGGAAGGGACGAAAGCGUGACGACGCCACGCCGGGUGAAUGAGGAAGGUCUUAGGAUUGUAAAAUCCUUUCACCGGGGACGAUAAUGACGGUACCCGGAGAAGAAGCCCCGGCUAACUUCGUG